GGGCGAUUAGCUCAGUUGGUAGAGCAACUCAUUUACACUGAGAAGGUCACAGGUUCGAGUCCUGUAUCGCCCA
rnacentral:tRNA from 1 species